UGUAGCUCAGUGGCAGAGCACAUGCUUCAUACGUCUGAGGUUUGGGGUUUAAUUCCCUGCA
rnacentral:tRNA from 1 species